rnacentral:lncRNA from 1 species
GAGUGUAGGAUUUAUCAGCAAGGGACAGGAUGGUUUGGAUGGGUAGGAUGGGCUUUUCCUGCAGAAAAGGUAAUUGCUGUUUGUGUCUCUUACAGGUGUUCCAGGCUGUGUAAAGGGAUUGUUCUUCCCAAGCCCUUGGGCUGUUGCUGCAGGCGGAAGGGAGCGUUGCUCUUUUCCAAUCAUCUAAAAGCAUCUGAAAAAGCAAAGCUUUAUUUCCAAAACCAAAAGUUGGCUCUCAGGCUGUCCUGUAAUCCUGUUGUCCUGGAGCCUGGGCAUCCAGUCCUUGGAAAUGAGGUGAGAAGUGAUGUGUGGCUUUGGGUAAGAAGAAGUACCUGCCUGAAAUAACAGCACAUGACAUGGGCUAGUAAGGAAUAUUGCCUUCCAUUUUUUUUAUUAUUGGAAUCAAAAGUGCAGAGAAACAGAACAUUGACCCGAUCUGAAAUUCUAGGUGUUAAUAUUUGAUUUCUCUCUUGCUCAAAAGACAACAUGGCUGUCUGCAUUUCCGGAGUGACCUCACUUCCCUG